rnacentral:rRNA from 1 species
CAGCCGCCGCGGUAAUACGAAGGGUGCAAGCGUUAAUCGGAAUUACUGGGCGUAAAGCGUGCGUAGGCGGUUUGUUAAGUCUGUUGUGAAAUCCUCGGGCUCAACCUGGGAAUGGCAAUGGAUACUGGCAAGCUAGAGUGUGUCAGAGGAUGGUGGAAUUCCCGGUGUAGCGGUGAAAUGCGUAGAGAUCGGGAGGAACAUCAGUGGCGAAGGCGGCCAUCUGGGACAACACUGACGCUGAGGCACGAAAGCAUGGGGAGCAAACAGGAUUAGAUACCCGCGUAGUCCCUGUCUCUUAUAC